GGGUUUCCUUUCCUCGGCAGCGCAUGGUUAUUGAACAUGGUAUAAUCAGGUGUUGUUCCAUCACUGGUUUUCCAGAACGAACAGUGGACUGCUGCACCUUUUCGUUUGUCCUGUGGGAUGGAAGUACUUGAAGUGUGCAAGUUGUGCAUGUAUACAUUGUUCUUGCGUGUGGCUUAAGGUUCCUCCUGGGCUACUGCUUUUGCUCUUUGCGACAUGUGGAUCACAUUUUGUUUGGAAUCAAUGUCUCUAUUAUUUUGUGCUGAAGUUCAUUCUUGUGCAUAGUCGGUUAUUGCCUUGUUGGAACAGCAAAGAAGGUGAAAUCAAGGUGAGCUGUUUACUGAAGCUAUGACUACGAAGUGUCCACUGCAUCCUUCAUCCAGUGUAUCUCAGAUAAGUUUGCGUCUGUCAGGUCUUGCACUUCCAGUUUCAACUACGCUUGAUUCUGUGAAUUUUUUUCACAUCUCUGCAGCAGCUAAUCGUUUUCUGAACCUGGGCUUGUUCGUUUUCCUAUCAAUCCAUGUGGAUUGUGUGAGAUUAAGUGUAUUUAAAUCCAAAAUAAAUCGAAAUCUUUCAUUUAUUUUUUAAUUCCAUCCAAUAUAUAUCGGAUAAGAAUAAUCGAACAAGCCUCUAGCGAGAAUCACUGGUUGUCGCACAUAUACGUCUUAUUUUUGGUUCGCCAGCGCAGGAAUAUGUUACUAAGAAUUUUGUUUAAGGUAGAUUAUAAAAGGGUGUCUGGUGGAAUAUCAUGAUAGAAAUGUGUGUGAAAGGGCAAACAUUGGAUGAUCUGGUCUGGAAGAGUUACUUUUGCUCUCUUGCAGGGGCUGCGGACAUAUGAUGGCUGCUGUUUCUGGUUUCUCAUUAUCGUCAGCGUCACAUGGAUCUACACUUAGAGAUGGCAGAUGGCAAAGGGGCCCGAUUCCCCUUUUUUUUGCGGGGAAUUCCUCUUGUUUGGUUAGGUAUGAAUUGGUGGGAAUUUAAGUGGAAUCCACUCAAAUUCUCAUUAAUCCACCCAUAACCGAACAAGCCUAGAGGUGAUGAAAAAUGUUCUUCCUCCACAGAGAUGUAAUCCACCCAUAACUGAACAAGCCUAAAGGUGAUGAAAAAUGUUCUUCCUCCACAGAGAUGUAAACGGGGAAAAAAUUAUCUCGGCGGAUAAAGAGAGAUGGAGAAGCAUUCCUCAUUAUCGUUUCCCGCGGGUCCAAUUUAUAUAUGAUGAUGUUUUCAUAUACACAAAAUGAUUUCUUACAUGUAAAUUACUUUAUCAAGAGACCAAUCGUUGUAUAAAUGUGUUAAUUUUGACGUACACAAAAUGAUUUUUUACAUGUAACAAUAUGUGUAAGUGACAAUGUUGUAUUAAUAACAAAUAAAGUAUGCCAUGAUUAUAAUUUAAGCCGAGAUGAGGAUCUCCGACGGGGAUUUAUCCCCAUGAAGAAGGAAAAAAUGCCACACACAAGAGUUCG
rnacentral:lncRNA from 1 species